rnacentral:rRNA from 1 species
UGACCUCGGAUCAGGUAGGAAUACCCGCUGAACUUAAGCAUAUCAAUAAGCGGAGGAAAAGAAACCAACAGGGAUUGCCCUAGUAACGGCGAGUGAAGCGGCAACAGCUCAAAUUUGAAAUCUGGCUACUUUGUAGUCCGAGUUGUAAUUUGUAGAGGAUGCUUUUGGUGAGGUGCUUUCUGAGUUCCCUGGAACGGGACGCCAGAGAGGGUGAGAGCCCCGUACAGUUAGCAACUGAUCCUUUGUAUAGCUCCUUCGACGAGUCGAGUAGUUUGGGAAUGCUGCUCUAAAUGGGAGGUAUAUCUCUUCUAAAGCUAAAUAUAGGCUAGAGACCGAUAGCGCACAAGUAGAGUGAUCGAAAGAUGAAAAGCACUUUGAAAAGAGAGUUAAACAGCACGUGAAAUUGUUGAAAGGGAAGCGCCUAUGACCAGACUUGUCUCUAUCAGUUUUGGUAGUUUUCGGACUGCUUUACUCUGUUAGUACAGGCCAACAUCAGUUUGUUGUCGGGGAGAAAGGCUUAGGGAAUGUGGCUCCCUCGGGAGUGUUAUAGACCUUUGCAUAAUACCCUUCGGCAGA